rnacentral:lncRNA from 1 species
AAAGAAUCGCCGCGGCGCUCUCAACCGCCUGCCUCUCUCAGCCAGACUCUGGCACUGGGGAGGCGGAGCAGCGCGGCAGAGAGGGGCGGAGACGGAGGCUAGCAUGGGGAGGGGGGGGGCUUUCCUCUCGGAGCCGGGUCGCAGGAGCGGGUGGGAGAAAGAAGAAAGCGGCGGUCGAUCCACGCGUUGCGUAGCUCGGGUUUCGGGGAGAAAGAGACGCCGUGUGGGACAGUCCCCAACCUAAGAGGACGACCUUGGACUCUGGAAUUUCCUAUCACCAGCAGAUUCCACAGUGACAAUCAGCGGUGCGCGUGAAGUGAUGUUGAAUUUGAUGUUGUAAACAAACAAGACAAAUACUCUCAAAGAUCAGGGUUUGUUUGUUCCUUCACUCUCAAGGCAGCUGAGAGACUGAAUUUGGACAGAGUUGCCAAGAAAACGACAGGGGGUUGUGCACGUCACAGGAGGCGCGAUCGUCUUUUCAGAUUCCGUGGCAGUGCAGCUGAAAGAAAGAGAGAGAGCUUUCUUCUACACAGCUGCGUAUACAGCCUUAGUCCUGUCAGGAUUGUUUCUGGUUUCUUCACUAUUAUCUACUCUGGCUCACAAUCUGCCUGAGGAGACAAUCGACACCAUGUUUGUUCACUGAAACCGGGAUGAAAAUUGGUAGUUGCCAUUCCCAUGCUGAAGAACUUUGGGCAGGAACGGAGAGAGAGAUCUUUGAGUGGAGACUUUGACUUGUUCUUCAAUAAUCUCUGGUUCCCACAAUGCAAAUGAUAGAAGUAAACCCUUUGUGGCCUGGAAAAGACAACAGGAACAGUCUUUUUGAUUUACACUAGAAGACCCACUGCGUGUUUACCAGGCCAGAAGCACAGCUCUUUGCAAGUCCUUGUAAUGCAAGAAAGCUGUUUUAUUUGCACAAAAACUGACUUGAUUUGUUGGGAACCGUUAAACUGCUUCAGUAAUUCAGCAUUCUGCUACUGAAGUUUGGAGAAAAGCUGAAGGAAAAGGCAGAGGAUGGGACAUAUUUCUCUUGUCACUAUUUUGUUGAUGCAAGAUUGAGACACAGAUGGUAACAGGACUUGCUGAAGGUCACGUAGGCCAUAAAGAGACCAAUGAAAGAGUGUCAGUGUUCUGAAUUCUAUUCUCAAGUCUUA